rnacentral:rRNA from 1 species
AACGAACGCUGGCGGCAGGCUUAACACAUGCAAGUCGAACGCCCCGCAAGGGGAGUGGCAGACGGGUGAGUAACGCGUGGGAACGUGCCCUUCGCUUCGGAAUAUUCCCGGGAAACUGGGAGCAAUGCCGAAUACGCCGUAUUGGGAAAGAUUUAUCGGCGAAGGAUCGGCCCGCGUUAGAUUAGGUAGUUGGCGGUGUAAUGGACCACCAAGCCUACGAUCUAUAGCUGGUCUGAGAGGAUGAUCAGCCACACUGGGACUGAGACACGGCCCAGACUCCUACGGGAGGCAGCAGUGGGGAAUCUUGGACAAUGGGCGCAAGCCUGAUCCAGCCAUGCCGCGUGAGUGAAGAAGGCCUUAGGGUUGUAAAACUCUUUCGCCGGAGAAGAUAAUGACGGUAUCCGGAGAAGAAGCCCCGGCUAACUUCGUGCCAGCCGCCGCAGUAACAC